rnacentral:rRNA from 1 species
AUUGAACGCUGGCGGCAUGCUUUACACAUGCAAGUCGAACGGUAACAGGCCGCAAGGUGCUGACGAGUGGCGAACGGGUGAGUAAUGCAUCGGAACGUGCCCAGUCGUGGGGGAUAGCGCAGCGAAAGCUGCGCUAAUACCGCAUACGAUCUCUGGAUGAAAGCGGGGGACCGAAAGGCCUCGCGCGAUUGGAGCGGCCGAUGUCAGAUUAGGUAGUUGGCGGGGUAAAGGCCCACCAAGCCAACGAUCUGUAGCUGGUCUGAGAGGACGACCAGCCACACUGGGACUGAGACACGGCCCAGACUCCUACGGGAGGCAGCAGUGGGGAAUUUUGGACAAUGGGCGCAAGCCUGAUCCAGCAAUGCCGCGUGCAGGAAGAAGGCCUUCGGGUUGUAAACUGCUUUUGUACGGAACGAAACGGUCCGGGUUAAUACCCUGGGCUAAUGACGGUACCGUAAGAAUAAGCACCGGCUAACUACGUGCCAGCAGCCGCCGUAAAAC